UACGAAGGGGGCGAGCGUUGUUCGGAAUUACUGGGCGUAAAGGGCGCGCAGGCGGCUCUGAAAGUCAGAUGUGAAAUCCCCGGGCUCAACCUGGGAACUGCAUUUGUGACUGUAGAGCUGGAGUACGGUAGAGGGGAUGGAAUUCCGCGUGUAGCAGUGAAAUGCGUAGAUAUGCGGAGGAACACCGAUGGCGAAGGCAAUCCCCUGGACCUGUACUGACGCUCAUGCACGAAAGCGUGGGGAGCAACAGG
rnacentral:rRNA from 1 species